rnacentral:rRNA from 1 species
AGCCUUUAGCCAAUCAAGUAUUAGAGGUAACGCCUGCCCAGUGAGUCCAUCUUUAACGGCCGCGCUCAAACCGUGCAAAGGUAGCAAAAUCAUUUGUCCUCUAAAUAGGGACCAGCAUGAACGGCAACAUGAGAAAGUGCCUGUCUCUUUAGGCUAGUCAGUGAAACUGAUCUGCCUGUACAAAAGCAGGCAUAAAAAAACAAGACAAAAAGACCCUGUGAAACUUUAAGUGCCUUUCAACAUUAUGACUGGGCACUUUUCGGUUGGGGCAACCAAUGAGAAACAAACCUCAUAAAAUCACAAGGCACACAAGCCUAAUGAACACUAAAGAUCCAGUACUACUGAUCAAAGGACAAAGCUACUCCAGGGAUAACAGCGCCACAUUCUUUAAGAGUCCAUAUCAACAAGAAUACCUACGACCUCGAUGUUGGAUCAGGACACCCCGAUGGCGCAGAAGCUAUUGAAGGUUCGUUUGUUCAACGAUUAAAGCCCU